AGAAGUAAAGGGUUUCUCCAUAAUCGAAAUUCCAUAAUUAAAUUUAACUAUAAAUUAAUCUAAUUAUCCAAAUGCAUCAUGUGUUGUGAGAACAUAUAUUAAACCUAUCAAGUUUUCCACACUAUCUAGCCACAAAAAGCACAAAAUUUUGCAGGAAGAGAAAAACUAUUGCACCAAAUUUUCAAUGCUGAGACAACCGAUACGGUUUUCAACAAAUGUAUUAUUCAAUUCUGGCUAAAAUACAAUAUAAUAAAAUUUUCAAUGAUCAGUGUUUUAGUUCCCCUCAAUAUAUAUAAUCAGGCCGUUAAUUUAUUGCUAAAUUCUGCUAAACCGAAUGUACAUAUAUGAGAACUUUAUCUUGAGGUUGUUUCAUACAAAAGCUCUUUCUGUCUCAUCUCUCUCUGCAUCUUCAUUUUCUAUUAUUUUUCUUCACUUUCUCAUUCUCAUUUCGAACAGAAUUCAUCAACCAGAAGUAGAAAGAACUACAGAGCACCCUCCUUGCAUUGUUUAACUCGAAAGAACAAAAAGCAUGCAAUUUGUUAUCCUGAAGUAUAUGUCACAGUCACAAUCCAUCUAUUUGUGGUGAAAGUGACAACAAGUAAUAUUUGUUCAUAACAAAGGUCAAGGAAAUGAAAUAUUGGCUCAAUAAUACCAAAUAUUAGCACCAAAUUUUCAGUUAAAACAAAAAACAAUUUAGAGGAUAUUCUUGUGCUUCACGAGGUGGAAGCUCGUGAGGUGCUGCAAGGGUGAGAAGGCGAGUUUGGGAAGAAAAUUUUGGGAAAUAUGUUGAUAGUUCCUUCAUUAUCGCAGCUGGAGAGAGAUGCAAAUCUGGAAAAGCAGGAAUAACUGCUU
rnacentral:lncRNA from 1 species